rnacentral:rRNA from 1 species
AUUGUGAGGUGAUGCCUGCCCGGUGCCCACAGGUUUACUGGCCGCGUCAUCAUAACCCCGCAUCUAUGACGCACUUGAUUGUGCCGUGAAUCGGGAUCAGAAUGGAUGGUUAAACGAGGUCUUAACUGUCUCUUACAGGCAAUCAGUGAAAUUGAUCUCCCUGUGCAAAAGCAGGGAUAACCACAUAAGACGAGAAGACCCUGUGGAACUUCAAAAACAGCAACCACCCUAAAAUACAUACACACCCACCCCGGGCUCACUUAACUUACAGGUGACUGGUCUGCAUUUUUUCGGUUGGGGCGACCUUGGAGCAAAACAAAACCUCCAAAUAUUAGACCAUUCCUCUAGACUGAGAGCAACUCCUCAACGUGCUAAUAGCAACCAGAUCCAAUACAAUUGAUCAAUGGACCAAGCUACCCAGGGAUAACAACCCAAUCUCCCUUCGAGAGUCCAUAUCCGACGGGGAGGUUUUACGACCUCGAUGUUGGGAUCAGGACAUCCUAAAUGGG